GACGAACGCUGGCGGCGUGCUUAACACAUGCAAGUCGAACGAAGUGGCGAACGGGUGAGUAACGCGUAAUCAACCUGCCCUUCAGAGGGGGACAACAGUUGGAAACGACUGCUAAUACCGCAUACUGAAGGAGGGGAUUGCGGCUGAUUAGCUAGUUGGGGGGGUAACGGCCCACCACGGCGAGGAUCAGUAGCCGGGUUGAGGGGAUGAAUGGCAAAAAUGGGACGGGGACAAGGCCCAGACUCCUACGGGAGGCAGCAGUGGGGAAUCUUCCGAAAUGGACGAAAGUCUGACGGAGCAACGCCGCGUGAGUGAUGACGGCCUUCGGGUUGUAAAGCUCUGUUAAUCGGGACGCGGUACCGGAAUAGAAAGCCAUGGCUAACUACGUGCCAGCAGCCGCGGUAAUUC
rnacentral:rRNA from 1 species